GACGAACGCUGGCGGCGUGCUUAACACAUGCAAGUCGAACGGAAAGGCCCUGCUUUUGUGGGGUGCUCGAGUGGCGAACGGGUGAGUAACACGUGAGUAACCUGCCCUUGACUUUGGGAUAACUUCAGGAAACUGGGGCUAAUACCGGAUAGGAGCUCCUGCUGCAUGGUGGGGGUUGGAAAGUUUCGGCGGUUGGGGAUGGACUCGCGGCUUAUCAGCUUGUUGGUGGGGUAGUGACUUACCAAGGCUUUGACGGGUAGCCGGCCUGAGAGGGUGACCGGCCACAUUGGGACUGAGAUACGGCCCAGACUCCUACGGGAGGCAGCAGUGGGGAAUAUUGCACAAUGGGCGGAAGCCUGAUGCAGCAACGCCGCGUGCGGGAUGAAGGCCUUCGGGUUGUAAACCGCUUUCGCCUGUGACGAAGCGUGAGUGACGGUAAUGGGUAAAGAAGCACCGGCUAACUACGUG
rnacentral:rRNA from 1 species